GACGAACGCUGGCGGCGUGCCUAACACAUGCAAGUCGAACGGAGUAAGAGGAGAGCUUGCUUUCCUCUUGCUUAGUGGCGGACGGGUGAGUAACACGUGAGCAACCUGCCUUUCUGUGGGGGACAACACAGGGAAACCUGUGCUAAUACCCCAUGAUAUAUCCUUCUCGCAUGGGAGGGAUAUCAAAGGAGCAAUCCGCAGAGAGAUGGGCUCGCGUCCGAUUAGGUAGUUGGUAGGGUAACGGCCUACCAAGCCCACGAUCGGUAGCCGGACUGAGAGGUCGAACGGCCACAUUGGGACUGAGACACGGCCCAGACUCCUACGGGAGGCAGCAGUGGGGGAUAUUGCGCAAUGGGGGAAACCCUGACGCAGCAACGCCGCGUGAGUGAAGAAGGCCUCGGUGUAAGCUCUUCGCCGGAGAAAUCGUAUGGGUUAAUACCCUGUGCGGAUGACGGUACCGGCGAUAAGAAGACACCGGCUAACUACGUGCCAGCAGCCGC
rnacentral:rRNA from 1 species